CUGUCGAGGCCACCUUCCCUCCCAAAAUCGCUCCUCGAGAGCGUCUACCCCGGUACCUGACACGGCCGGAGAGA
rnacentral:ncRNA from 1 species